rnacentral:rRNA from 1 species
AUUGAACGCUGGCGGCAUGCUUUACACAUGCAAGUCGGACGGCAGCGGGGGUGCUUGCACCUGCCGGCGAGUGGCGAACGGGUGAGUAACAUAUUGGAAUGUACCGAGUAGUGGGGGAUAACCAAUCGAAAGAUUGGCUAAUACCGCAUACGUCCUGAGGGGGAAAGCAGGGGAUCUUCGGACCUUGCGCUAUUUGAGCAGCCAAUAUCUGAUUAGCUAGUUGGUGGGGUAAAGGCCCACCAAGGCGACGAUCAGUAGCGGGUCUGAGAGGAUGAUCCGCCACACUGGGACUGAGACACGGCCCAGACUCCUACGGGAGGCAGCAGUGGGGAAUUUUGGACAAUGGGGGCAACCCUGAUCCAGCCAUGCCGCGUGUCUGAAGAAGGCCUUCGGGUUGUAAAGGACUUUUGUUAGGGAAGAAAAGGGAAGUGCUAAUACCACUUUUUGCUGACGGUACCUAAAGAAUAAGCACCGGCUAACUACGUGCCAGCAGCCGCGGUAAUACGUAGGGUGCGAGCGUUAAUCGGAAUAACUGGGCGUAAAGGGCACGCAGGCGGUGACUUAAGUGAGGUGUGAAAGCCCCGGGCUUAACCUGGGAAUUGCAUUUCAUACUGGGUCGCUAGAGUACUUUAGGGAGGGGUAGAAUUCCACGUGUAGCGGUGAAAUGCGUAGAGAUGUGGAGGAAUACCGAAGGCGAAGGCAGCCCCUUGGGAAUGUACUGACGCUCAUGUGCGAAAGCGUGGGGAGCAAACAGG